rnacentral:rRNA from 1 species
UUGAACGCUGGCGGCAGGCCUAACACAUGCAAGUCGAACGGUAACAGGGAUCAGCUUGCUGCUUCGCUGACGAGUGGCGGACGGGUGAGUAAUGUCUGGGAAACUGCCUGAUGGAGGGGGAUAACUACUGGAAACGGUAGCUAAUACCGCAUAACGUCGCAAGACCAAAGAGGGGGACCUUCGGGCCUCUUGCCAUCGGAUGUGCCCAGAUGGGAUUAGCUAGUAGGUGGGGUAACGGCUCACCUAGGCGACGAUCCCUAGCUGGUCUGAGAGGAUGACCGGCCACACCGGAACUGAGACACGGUCCAGACUCCUACGGGAGGCAGCAGUGGGGAAUAUUGCACAAUGGGCGCAAGCCUGAUGCAGCCAUGCCGCGUGUAUGAAGAAGGCCUUCGGGUUGUAAAGUACUUUCAGCGGGGAGGAAGGGAGUAAAGUUAAUACCUUUGCUCAUUGACGUUACCCGCAGAAGAAGCACCGGCUAACUCCGUG